rnacentral:rRNA from 1 species
UACGUAGGGGCCUAGCGUUGUCCGGAUUUAUUGGGCGUAAAGAGCUCGUAGGCGGCGCGGUAAGUCGGGUGUGAAAUCUCGGAGCUUAACUCCGAAACUGCAUUCGAUACUGCCGUGCUUGAGGACUGGAGAGGAGACUGGAAUUUACGGUGUAGCGGUGAAAUGCGUAGAUAUCGUAAGGAAGACCAGUGGCGAAGGCGGGUCUCUGGACAGUUCCUGACGCUGAGGCACGAAGGCCAGGGGAGCAAACGGG